GAGGUGAAAGGAUCGAUCCAUCAUUAAGCCCCCAAAACAGCUCCCAUAACACACUGCAAAGCCGCCAAUAGCAAGAGAGGUGAAAGGAUCGAUCCAUCACUAAGCCCCCAAAACAGCUCCCAUAACACACUGCAAAGCAGCCAAUAGCAAGAGAGGUGAAAGGAUCGAUCCAUCACUAAGCCCCCAAAACAGCUCCCAUAACACACUGCAAAGCAGCCAAUAGCAAGAGAGGUGAAAGGAUCGAUCCAUCACUAAGCCCCCAAAACAGCUCCCAUAACACACUGCAAAGCAGCCAAUAGCUAGAGAGGUGAAAGGAUCGAUCCAUCACUAAGCCCCCAAAACAGCUCCCAUAACACACUGCAAAGCAGCCAAUAGCAAGAGAGGUGAAAGGAUCGAUCCAUCACUAA